rnacentral:piRNA from 1 species
UUAUGCAAACAUAAAAAGCAA